rnacentral:rRNA from 1 species
UUGAACGCUGGCGACAUGCCUUACACAUGCGAAGUCGGAACGGCAGCACGGGAGCAAUCCUGGUGGCGAGUGGCGAACGGGUGAGUAAUAUAUCGGAACGUGCCCAGUCGUGGGGGAUAACGUAGCGAAAGCUACGCUAAUACCGCAUACGAUCUAUGGAUGAAAGCGGGGGAUCGCAAGACCUCGCGCGAUUGGAGCGGCCGAUAUCAGAUUAGGUAGUUGGUGAGGUAAAGGCUCACCAAGCCGACGAUCUGUAGCUGGUCUGAGAGGACGACCAGCCACACUGGGACUGAGACACGGCCCAGACUCCUACGGGAGGCAGCAGUGGGGAAUUUUGGACAAUGGGCGCAAGCCUGAUCCAGCAAUGCCGCGUGCAGGAUGAAGGCCUUCGGGUUGUAAACUGCUUUUGUACGGAACGAAACGGUGAGCUCUAAUACAGUUUGCUAAUGACGGUACCGUAAGAAUAAGCACCGGCUAACUACGUG